rnacentral:tRNA from 1 species
UUAUACUUAUUUUAUAGGAAUAAAAAAUUUUGAGUUUUUAGGAACCAGUGAAAUUCUAGUAGUAUAAA